rnacentral:rRNA from 1 species
CCUACGGGCGGCAGCAGUGAGGAAUAUUGGUCAAUGGGCGGAAGCCUGAACCAGCCAAGUAGCGUGCAGGAUGACGGCCCUACGGGUUGUAAACUGCUUUUAUAUGGGAAUAAAAUGUUCCACGUGUGGGAUUUUGUAUGUACCAUAUGAAUAAGGAUCGGCUAACUCCGUGCCAGCAGCCGCGGUAAUACGGAGGAUCCGAGCGUUAUCCGGAUUUAUUGGGUGUAAAGGGAGCGUAGGUGGAUUGUUAAGUCAGUUGUGAAAGUUUGCGGCUCAACCGUAAAAUUGCAGUUGAAACUGGCAGUCUUGAGUACAGUAGAGGUGGGCGGAAUUCGUGGUGUAGCGGUGAAAUGCUUAGAUAUCACGAAGAACUCCGAUUGCGAAGGCAGCUCACUGGACUGCAACUGACACUGAGGCUCGAAAGUGUGGGUAUCAAACAGGAUUAGAUACCCCGGUAGUC